GCUGGCGGCGUGUUUAACCCAUGCAAGUUGAACGAGUAAGAUUUGGUACGGAGCCUUCGGGUGAAGAACCGAAUUAGAAAGUAGCGAACGGGUGAGUAACGCGUGAAUAACCAACCCUCCACAGGGGGACAACAACUGGAAACGGUUGCUAAUACCGCAUAAGCCCACAGUACCGCAUGGUACAGGGGGAAAAGAUUUAUCGGUGGAGGACGGAUUCGCGUUCCAUUAGCUAGUAGGUAGGGUAAUGGCCUACCUAGGCAACGAUGGAUAGCCGAGCUGAGAGGCUGAUCGGCCACACUGGAACUGAGAUACGGUCCAGACUCCUACGGGAGGCAGCAGGGAAGAAUAUUGUACAAUGGGGGAAACCCUGAUACAGCAACGCCGCGUGAAGGAAGAAGGCCUUCGGGUUGUAAACUUCUGUGACGGGGGACGAACAAAAUGACGGUACCCCGAGAGGAAGCUCCGGCAAACUACGUGCCAGCAGCCGCGGUAAUACGUAGGGGGCGAGCGUUGUCCGGAAUCACUGGGCGUAAAGGGCGCGUAGGCGGCCAUAUAAGUUGAAUGUGAAAUCCCGGGGCUCAACCC
rnacentral:rRNA from 1 species